rfam:Freshwater sediment metagenome lwMethane_BCGO26811_x1, whole genome shotgun sequence.
GAGGGGAGGCCCCUCGGGGUCGGCGUGCAGGCGCAGACUUCAAACCGCGGCAAGCGGCGUCGAUCAAGAGUCGUCGUCGUGAGCGUUGCCGGAAAAGGCGGAGGGUACUCCGUCAGGU